rnacentral:misc_RNA from 1 species
GUAUUAUGUUUCGACCAUAAAAGGUCUUGACUGAUACAUUCUAUAAAUUUCAGAGUGUAUUAUAAAACAUAGGCAAGCAGAACUUAAUCCGCCGCCUACAAUAAGUGCACAGGGGUUUGAAAAGGCGGAGUGCACAUGCGUCUUGCAACGCCAGCAACAUCCUUUGGAAUUCAAUAAUGAUCCUUCCGCAGGUUCACCUACGGAAA